GUGGGCUAUGGAGACAUGCACCCCAUCACCAUUGGGGGCAAGAUUGUGGGGUCUCUCUGUGCCAUCGCAGGGGUGCUAACCAUCGCUCUCCCCGUGCCUGUGAUAGUCUCCAAU
rfam:Haliaeetus albicilla contig16856, whole genome shotgun sequence.